rnacentral:rRNA from 1 species
CUACGCACUCCUACGGGAGGCAGCAGUGGGGAAUAUUGCACAAUGGGCGCAAGCCUGAUGCAGCCAUGCCGCGUGUAUGAAGAAGGCCUUCGGGUUGUAAAGUACUUUCAGCAGUGAGGAAGGUGGGUAUGUUAAUAGCAUACUCAUUUGACGUUAGCUGCAGAAGAAGCACCGGCUAACUCCGUGCCAGCAGCCGCGGUAAUACGGAGGGUGCGAGCGUUAAUCGGGAAUUACUGGGCGUAAAGCGCAUGCAGGUGGUUUGUUAAGUCAGAUGUGAAAGCCCGGGGCUCAACCUCGGAAUUGCAUUUGAAACUGGCAAACUAGAGUACUGUAGAGGGGGUAGAAUUUCAGGUGUAGCGGUGAAAUGCGUAGAGAUCUGAAGGAAUACCGGUGGCGAAGGCGGCCCCCUGGACAGAUACUGACACUCAGAUGCGAAAGCGUGGGGAGCAAACAGGAUUAGAUACCCUGGUAG